UCAGUCCUUAUCUAGCCAGGUUUAUACAGGUGGUUGGCUAAGCAAACUUACUUGCUGAGUUUCAGUGUGACUGUUUUCACUGCAAUUUAUCCAGAGGCUAGCAUGUCUUCCCUCAGUGAUAUUAGACUUUUCCCAUAAUGCUUUUGUGUAGGAGAAAGACAGACACAUUUUGAGAUGGCCCAGCAGGCAACAUGGCUGCCCAACUGGAUACAUGAGGCCCCAGCUUCCCUCACAGUGAACUGUGUGCAUAUGGCUAAGUGUUUACCAUGCAGAAGUGAUGUGUGCAACUCUGCAUCUCCCCCUUCACUUCCUUUCUUUUGAGACUCUUCCCAUAGUCUGGGAUGGAAACAAGAUAACACUACGGAGGCAGUGGAACAACAAGAUAGAUAGGACCUAGGACUCUGAACCAUACCUCUACUUCUGAGUUGAUAAACAUACGAGAGAAACUAA